rnacentral:lncRNA from 1 species
UGAAAAUUAAGGUUUGUAUGUUUGUUUUUUUUUUAAAAUUACAGUUGAUUUACGUUUCUCUAAUUUCUGCUGUACAGCAAAGCGACUCCCACCCAGUUCCCUGUGCUGUACAGUAGGGCCCCAUUGCCCAUCCAUUCCAAAUGUUACAGUUCGCAUGCACCAACCCCAAGAUUUGCACGUUGUUUUUUAGACAUAAUGCUAUUGCACUCUUAAUAGACCACAGUGUAGUGUAAACAUAAACUUUGCGUGACUUGCCUUAUUGUGAUAUUUGCUUUAUUGCAGUGGUCUGGAACCGAACCGGCAGUGUUUCUGAGUUAUGCCCUGCAACAUUAGGCUGAGUCUAAGGAUAUCAAGUCAACAAAACAGUCAGGGAGCAGUCAGAUAAUGAAAUUAAGCCUGCAGUUGAAAGUGUCAGAGACGGUUGUUAGAAAGAGGCUGAAGUUGAGCGCGGUCUUGGAGGGCCUUGUUUUGGGAGGACCAGCAUUUUCUGAUCAAUGUGCCAGUUGA